rnacentral:rRNA from 1 species
GAUUGAACGCUGGCGGCAUGCUUUACACAUGCAAGUCGGACGGCAGCACAAAGAAGCUUGCUUCUUGGGUGGCGAGUGGCGAACGGGUGAGUAACGCAUCGGAACGUACCGAGUAGUAGGGGAUAACUGUCCGAAAGGAUGGCUAAUACCGCAUACGCUUUGAGAAGGAAAGCGGGGGAUCUUCGGACCUCGCGCUAUUCGAGCGGCCGAUGUCUGAUUAGCUAGUUGGUGGGGUAAAGGCCUACCAAGGCGACGAUCAGUAGCGGGUCUGAGAGGAUGAUCCGCCACACUGGGACUGAGACACGGCCCAGACUCCUACGGGAGGCAGCAGUGGGGAAUUUUGGACAAUGGGCGCAAGCCUGAUCCAGCCAUGCCGCGUGUCUGAAGAAGGCCUUCGGGUUGUAAAGGACUUUUGUCAGGGAAGAAAAGCUUGAGGCUAAUACCCUUGAGUGAUGACGGUACCUGAAGAAUAAGCACCGGCUAACUAC